CAUCAUCCUCAUCUCACCAUCACUCAUUUCCCUGUGUUGCCAGUUUUCCUCACAAAGGAAAAAUGAAACGGGGUAAGCAUCAUAAUUAGGUUUUGAAGAUGAUACAAGUAGUUCAUUGGAGACCAUAGGAGUAUACGGGUUACAGGGAAUGAGAGGGCCUUUACCUUGUUGGGCUAAAGCCAGGUGAUGCCGUUCUCUGCAUCCAUCUUCAAUCACCUUGACCUCGAUCCAUGUCUCCAAAGAACUCAUCCAUUUCCAAUCAUAUGAAUCUCCGUAAUAUUUCGACAUCUAUUUGGUUAAAUCCCUCAGAUUUUGGCAAAAAUACUCGCAGAGAACGGGCGACGAAAGGCAGAAGACGAAGAGAGAGAUUGAUCUGAUUUUGGGUAAGGGUUUACAUCAUAGGGAUUUCUGGAAAGGGGGAAGACGAUGGUGGAGGCCAAAUUGGUAAGAGACGAAUGCAGA
rnacentral:lncRNA from 1 species